CGGGCCGGGGCAUGUAGGGGGCUUAGAGCCGGCCCGCCGGGACCCCCUAGGAGAGGCUGAAUUUCCACCGCAAAUCUCUUGUGAUGUCUACAAUGUUUUAGGAGUGUCUUGAAGGUUCCAGCUGUGCCCAGUGGGCUGAAGUCCUUAAGGAGCAGCAGGGCUGCAAAAAAACCCUGAGUCCUGAGAAAGUAUAACCUUGCCACUGUUUGCAAAUAAAGAGGUAUGACUGGAGCUUUCCUUUCUGUAGGAGGAAGUGAAGAAGCUGGUGGCUGCAGAGCCUAAAGAAUAUUUGCUGAGUUGUAAAACAAUGGAUUUUUGUUCCCAUUGCUGUGUCCCCGUGUUCACCUCAGUCAGGACAACACAGUGUGUUAGAAGUAUCAGAUUUCAACACUGCAUUUUGCAACGAUAAAUAGCAGCAAGUGGAAACACUAAGAAACCUGCUCAUAACAAAAACCAGCAGCUGCCAAUCCACUCUGCUGUUGGCAUCAGCGCACAUAGAAUGCCAUAAGAAGAGGAUGCUAAGCUCUGCCACAUCAGAAUGAAGGACAUAAUCUGCUUCAAGGCAGCACAGCUUUUGGUGAGAAAGGAAGCAAAGUUUCUUUAUCAUACUGCCAAAGUUCAAAGGCAAUCAAAACAGCAAAAACAUGUCAAAACACUGUUUAAUUAGUGCAUGAAGACACACUUUCUCAGAGUGGUUAGAAAAGGAAUUGUGGUGUUGCGUUUGGACUCCUCUGAAGUCCUUUUCCUCAUGCCCAGUGCCUGCUAUGUAAAUCUUGGUGUGAUGUGUAGGUCAGUAGACUUGUGCGUACAGGGAAGAGACCCCCACAGAGGCAAAACAGUCACACAACAUGUACAAACACAAAAUAAGAACAUCUUCAUCCUCAGCAAGGAUGACAUGAAAACCAGUUGUACUGAUACACAGCUGGCAUUUGUUUAUGCGGAAGGGUGUUAUUUCCUAUUUUCCUGGUGACUGGGCACACAAGAGGUCUGUCUGUCUCACAACACCACUACCUGACCACAAUGUUUUUACAGCUUUUGGGAGAACCAACAAGUGAUGGCUAACUCCACUGCAUUAACUGAAAAAAAUCUUAGUUGCCAGGAAGCAGCAGUGGGCAGUGUUCUUCCCUAACAGAGCCCUCAUCUCAAACACAGGGUAACAAAUUAUUCAGGAACCUCCAUAUCUCUGAGGAAGCACAAACAAAUCACAGUUGAAUAAGAGUGCUUCAAAGCCAGGCACUUGCUGUUCUGUUGACAGACAUAUCCAGGACUGUCUAUUUGAAAAUUGUGUGACCCUAAGAGACAUUUAUUUGAAGACAAACUUUUAAACAUGUCAUAAAUUAACUUGUACAGGAGCAGAAGCUGCCAUGGAACCAAACCUUACCAGGGAAUUUUGUAAAGCUUAGAGAAUAAACCCCAGCCUCAAGAGAAGCUUCUGUCACCCUGGGCAGACUAAUCCCUGAUGUCUGCGCUCCUCACCUGAGAAACGAGAAUGUAUCAACCCAGCAGGCUGUAGAUGGGGAUCAAUGCAUGCUUCACUGAUGCAAAGCUGCACCAUAAAUCUGCCUGUAUUUCAUAAACACAUCAGCACAGCAGGCAAAUGAGAGACAGUACAAGCAGGAAUAGCAUCCAUGCAGUAGUAUAUCCUUCUUUGCUCCUCUUUCACAAAUAAAUAGCCACUCUUAAGCACUACUACAAUGCUGAGAACUACUCAUCAUUGCAUACAGUAGAAUCAGAGAAUCAUAGAAUAUAAUAAUCAAGUCCAACUCCUGACCCUGCACAGGACAACCCCAAAAUCCUACCAUGUGCCUGAGAGUGUUGUCCAAACACCCCUUGAGCUCUGGCAGCCUUGGGGCCAUGACAACUGCCUGUCCUGAGGAGCCUUUUCAGUGCCCAACCAUCCUCUGGGGAAAAGAACCAUUUCCCAGUAUGCAGCUUAAACCUCCUCUGACACAGUUCCAUGUUGUGCCUUCAGUACUACUGUCACUGGUCACCAGAGAGCAGAGAUCAGUGUUGAAUGUCUCCUCAGUACUCCUGUAAACAGCAAGAGUGCUGGGCUGGGAAUUUUAGAUGUUUCAACCAAGAUUUUACAGUAAAUCAGAUAGUAAAUACAGAUCCUCUGUAUGCCGCAAUUUUCCAGCUGCAUAUUCAACAUCAUUUUGCACCUGAAACAUCACAAAUCCUUUUAAACUAGCACUCAUGAAAUGAAAGACUCCUCAGGUGAAGGAAGCUCUGUAAUCCUGCGACAGAGAAUAUGGGAAAAAACUGACAGAAAAUGGUUUGUUUGUUUGUUCGACACAAACAACUGCCAACAGGUUAAAAGCUUGGGCAAGGGACGAGUCUGCCCCUGACCUGUAUUGUACUGCUUUGUACAAUGACAGCAGUGUUCAGUUACCCUCAAGCUGGCCAAAAAAAAAAAAAAGGGGGGGGGGAGGAGAAUGACAAAUAAGGCACUUCUGAAACAAGGGAAAUAAUUUCCAAGAGCAGGUGUCAUUCAGGGAUCUGCAGGACAUGCAGUCAUAUAUUCUCAAGCACUUUUCAUCUUUGCUGUUUCCUCUGUGCCUCACCCACAGGAGUCAAAACUUCCAGAGUAUAUUUAAAAAGUAACUACAAAGAUUGCUCCACAUUUUAGAGUUAAUGAGAUGAACUAAGAGGACUUGUCAGUGUGAAUAAAGAAGAAACCUACACAAAUACCCCUCUGCUACUUGCUCUGGGACGCAGAUGAUGCGAUCAAGCACCGCUGAUGCCAAUGAAUGCAAAGAGGGGAUAAAGACCCAGUCAGACACUGAGGGAAGAGUCACACAGUUGUACAGAAUUACAGCAUGUGUUUGAAGUCUACAUUCACUUGACUUCUAUAGAAGAGGAUGAAGGAGGAGCAGUGGAGUGUUAGGAAGUGAAAAACAAGUCUCCUUCCCUGCUCCUACAUUUGGAGGGAGCACUAGGGUUACCUGUAUGUGCAUCAGUCUUCUCCUGGGAUCGCUCCCUGGUGUUUGAGGUGUGAUUUCAGACUGACACAGCCAACCUUUCUUUGGCUGCUAUUGACAUCACUGACUUCACCACUUUGUCAGUCUUCCAACGGCUUGUACCUUCCAGAAAGCCUCAUUUGAGCAGAUCAGCCUUGCCCAACAUAAAGACAACUGCCUUCAUUAUUCUGAGCAACAGCUCAUGCAGAUCUGGUUACAUUACUUGUAUAAAUCUAUAUGAUUAAUACA